UUACCGAUCAUCUGCUUUGCACGAUCAUUUCGAAUGUUUUGUUCUUAGCUACCACUUCUUGGCGUUGGCUUUAGAACGUGCUGCAAUAACCUGUCCUUGGCAUAUGCGACCAUCAAAGUAGCCAAGCAAAUUCUUUUCUUGUCAAAUGUAAACAACAAACAACCUGUCUAGGCUUUUUUGCUGCACAGUUCAAACAGUGCUUGAAGUUGAUGUUGUGCACAUUAGAGAUGUUGCGAGAUUAAUGUUGUGAAUUGGAUGCGUCUGACGGUGACUGUGUCCGCAUGUGUGCCUGUGUCCGUGUAAUGUGCACAAAUCAUUGUUCUCGGUGAGUAGAUUUGCUGAUAAUGUUUUGCACACUUUCUAUGCGAACCCUGGGAGCAAAUGAUAGUGCGUCAUUAAUAGAAGCACACUGCAGUUGAGCCGCUUAUACCGGAGCGAUUAACCUUGCAGUGAAACGCGUUACAAACACAAUACGCUUUCGUAGAUUAGAUAGAAACAAAGCGGUAGCGUCUCGCAUGUCGCUCUAGUGAUGCCAGUUUACCUUGCAGCGCAAAGAGAUCAGUCGCGAAGAAACACAGCACUAUUAACACAGUCCACAAAAUCAUCGUCUGUAUGGUGCCGGCACGUUUGAUUGCGCUUCCCAUGGCGACGAAUUUAUUUUUUGGCCGUUCUCCACCAAGCUAAGCACAAGACAAGAAUCGUAUCUUUGAGAUCCUCUGUUCGCUAUCAAACGGCAAUGGCGCAGCUUCCGCGAACCCACCACUACGAUUACUAACACCGAGCCAGAAACGAGUUUCUAUCGAUCGUCGGCGCGAUCACCUCGAGAACUGAUACGUUGCGGCAUGCCGUUGAGGUCCGGAGACUAUCGGCAAGCGUGGCGAAUCUCACCUACACCGAUGUAAGCCGUUCUCUCAGCGCAAGAUGCUGCGACGGGUUUGCGAGUCGUAAGGUGUUUGUAAAACCGCGCUUGACGAUCGUUGCGUGCGCCUCUCAAUGAUGACACCAACCUGGAGGGCUGUGCUUGUGUUUGUGUCUGAUCAUGUGCCGGAAAACUGAUGGUGAUGAUGAUUAAAUUUGAAUAUCGUUUGCGAGCAUUUCAUGUUUGGUUAGUUGCAAGCCAAACUAAUAAAAUAAAAGUCAAAACC